AGGAUAAUAGUUAAUAAUAACAUUUAAGUUGCAUUUAAAAAGUGCUGUAUUCUCAGCUUAUCUUA
rnacentral:tRNA from 1 species